rnacentral:rRNA from 1 species
GACGAACGCUGGCGGCGUGCUUAACACAUGCAAGUCGAACGGAAAGGCCCUGCUUUUGUGGGGUGCUCGAGUGGCGAACGGGUGAGUAACACGUGAGUAACCCGCCCUUGACUGUGGGAUAACUUCAGGAGACUGGGGCUAAUACCGGAUAGGAUCUCCUGCUGCACGGUGGUGGUUGGAGAGAUUCGGCGGUUGGGGAUGGACUCGCGGCUUAUCAGCUUGUUGGUGAGGUAGUUGCUUACCAAGGCUUUGACGGGUAGCCGGCCUGAGAGGGUGGCCGGCGACCUUGGGACUGAGAUACGGCGCAGAAUCCUACGGGACGCAGCAGUGGGGAAUAUUGCGGAAUGGGCGGAAGUCUGAUGCAGCAACGUCGGGUGCGGGAUGACGGCUUUCGGGUUGUAAACAGAUUUCGCAUGUGCCGAAGAGGGAGUGACGGUAAUGGGUAAAGAAGCACCGGCUAACUACGUG